UGGGGAAUCUUGGACAAUGGGCGCAAGCCUGAUCCAGCCAUGCCGCGUGGAUGAUGAAGGCCUUAGGGUUGUAAAAUCCUUUCGCCGAGGACGAUAAUGACGGUACUCGGAGAAGAAGCUCCGGCUAACUUCGUGCCAGCAGCCGCGGUAAUACGAAGGGGGCUAGCGUUGUUCGGAUUUACUGGGCGUAAAGCGCGUGUAGGCGGGUCGUUAAGUUGGGGGUGAAAUCCCGAGGCUCAACCUCGGAACUGCCUUCAAAACUGGCGACCUGGACCUAAGUAGAGGCAAGUGGAAUUGCGAGUGUAGAGGUGAAAUUCGUAGAUAUUCGCAGGAACACCAGUGGCGAAGGCGACUUGCUGGACUUGUAGUGACGCUGAGACGCGAAAGCGUGGGGAGCAAACAGGAUUAGAUACCCCCGUAGUCCCUGAGCGGGCUGGCAAGGCGCAU
rnacentral:rRNA from 1 species